GACGAACGCUGGCGGCGUGCUUAACACAUGCAAGUCGAACGGAAAGGCCCUGCGUUUGUGGGGUGCUCGAGUGGCGAACGGGUGAGUAACACGUGAGUAACCUGCCCUUGACUUUGGGAUAACUUCAGGAAACUGGGGCUAAUACCGGAUAGGAGCUCCUGCUGCAUGGUGGGGGUUGGAAAGUUUCGGCGGUUGGGGAUGGACUCGCGGCUUAUCAGCUUGUUGGUGGGGUAGUGGCUUACCAAGGCUUUGACGGGUAGCCGGCAUGAGAGGGUGAACGGCCACAUUGGGACUACGGUACGGCCCAGACUCCUACGGGAGGCAGCAGUGGGGAAUAUUGCACAAUGGGAGGAAGCCUGAUGCAGCGACGCCACGUGCGGGAUGACGGCCUUCGGGUUGUAAACCGCUUUCGCCUGUGACGAAGCGUGAGUGACGGUAAUGGGUAAAGAAGCACCGGCUAACUACGUG
rnacentral:rRNA from 1 species